UACGGAGGAUGCAAGCGUUAUCCGGAAUUAUUGGGCGUAAAGCGUCCGCAGGUGGUUAUCCAAGUCUGCUGUUAAAGCGCGAGGCUUAACUUCGUACAGGCAGUGGAAACUGGGUGACUGGAGUAUGGUAGGGGUAGCGGGAAUUCCCAGUGUAGCGGUGAAAUGUGUAGAUAUUGGGAAGAACACCAGCGGCGAAAGCGCGCUACUGGGCCAUUACUGACACUCAUGGACGAAAGCUAGGGGAGCGAAAGGG
rnacentral:rRNA from 1 species